rnacentral:rRNA from 1 species
AGGGUGUAAACGCUGCGGGCUUGGUGUUGGGGGUCCUUUGAGGGCGCCCAGUGCCGGAGAGAAGUUGUUAAGCCUGCUGCUUGGGGAGUACGUCCGCAAGGAUGAAACUUAAAGGAAUUGGCGGGGGAGCACCACAACGCGUGGAGCCUGCGGUUUAAUUGGAUUCAACGCCGGACAUCUCACCAGGGCGACAGCAGAAUGAUGGCCAGGUUGAUGACCUUGCUUGACAAGCUGAGAGGAGGUGCAUGGCGUAGACGUCU